UGCCAGCCGCCGCGGUAAUACGGAGGGUGCGAGCGUUAAUCGGAAUUACUGGGCGUAAAGCGCACGCAGGCGGUUUGUUAAGCUAGAUGUGAAAGCCCCGGGCUCAACCUGGGAUGGUCAUUUAGAACUGGCAGACUAGAGUCUUGGAGAGGGGAGUGGAAUUCCAGGUGUAGCGGUGAAAUGCGUAGAUAUUACACGGAAGGCCGGAGCCGAAGGGGGCUCUCUGGGACACAACUGACGCUGAGGAACGGAAGCGUGGGGAGCAAACAGGAUUAGAUA
rnacentral:rRNA from 1 species